GCCCUCCUGACGGGCCUGCUCUAUCUGUGUGAUAAGAUUAGCAUGGCCCCUGCGCAAGGAUGACACGCAAAUUUGUGAAGCCUUCUGUAUUUUU